AUGUACAUCCUUGCAUGCUCUCGCUCAUCUUUGCAUGCCCUCACACGCCCAUGCACGCCCGAGCAGGCAGUCACAUGUUCUUGCACAUCCUCGCAUGCUCUCACGUGGCCUUGCACGCACUUGAAUGUCCUCACACACUCUCGCAAAUCCUGCAUGCCCCUCACGCCCUUGUACAGCCUCGCACACCCUCACAUGUCCUCGUACUCUCUCGCACACCAUGGCACGCUCUUGCACGUCCUUGCACACCCUCACAGAUUCUCACAUGUCCUCGUGCACUCUCCCAUGGCCUUGCACGCACUCGCACAUUCUUGUACACCCUUGCAUGCUACUGCAAGCCCUCACACACUCUUGCACAGCCUCGCAUGGCCUCGCACACCCCCACAUGUCCUCAUAUGCUCUCGCACAUCAUGGCAUGCUCUCGCAUGCCCUCACAGAUUCUUGCACAUCCUUGCAUGCCCUCUCAGAUUCUCACGCAUCCUCGCAUACCCUCACACACUCUCCCACGGCCUCACACGCACUCGCACAUCCUCGUACACCCUCGCAUGCCACUGCAAGCCCUUGUACACUCUUGCACAGCCUUGCAUGCUCUUCCACACCCUCGCAUGUGCUCACCCGCUCUUGCACGGCCUUGCACAUCCUUGCACACACUCGCAUGCCCUCUCACGCCCUCACAUGGCAUCACAAAUCCUCGCAUGCCAUCCCAUGCUCUCGCAAGGCCUCACACGCCCUCCAACAUUCUCACAUGUCCUCACACACCCUCGUUCACCCUCAAAUGCUCUUGCAUGCACUUGCACACUCUCACACAGCCACAAAAGUACUCCCAAGCCCUCACACGACCACGCAUGCCCUCACACACCCUUGCAGGCCUACCACACUCUCGCCCAUGCUCAUGUAAUCUUGCACAUCCUGGCAUGCACUCGCAUGACCUCAAAUGGUCUCGCAUGCCUGUGCACACUCCUGCAUGCCCUUGCACAUCCUCACAUAAGCUCUCAAGCCUUCGUGCACUCUCACACACUCUCAAAUGUCCUCACACACUCUUGCAAGCCCUCACAUGCCCUCACACACCCUCGCAUGCUCUCAUGCAUCAUCACAUGCAAUGCCACGCCUUCACAUGCACUCGAACGCCCUAGCAGUCCCUCACAUGCACUCACAUCCCCUUGCACGUCCUUGCACCCUCUUGCAUGCGCUUGCAUGUCUUCACAUGCUCUCAUAUUCCCUCACACACCCUCGCACACUCUCACACGAAUGUCCUCAUACACUCUCGCAAUUCUUUGCACACCCUCCCACGCUCUUGCAUGCUCUCACAUCCCCUCGCACAUAUUCACAUACCAUCAUGAAUGCUGUCGUGUGUCAUCACACACUCUGUCAUGCCCUCACAUGCACUCGCACACCCUAGCAUGCCCUUGCAUGCCCUUGCAUCCCCUGGCACCCUCUCACACAUGCUCACAUGCCCUCACGUGCUCUCACAUGGCCUCGCACUCCCUCACAUAUCCUUGCAUACACUUGCAUACCCUCACACAGCCUCACACACCCACAAAUGUCCUCACACAUCCUCACAAGCCCUAA
ensembl:lncRNA